rnacentral:rRNA from 1 species
GAUGAACGCUGGCGGUAUGCUUAACACAUGCAAGUCGAACGGACUCUUCGGAGUUAGUGGCGGACGGGUGAGUAACGCGUGAGAAUCUGGCUUUGGGUUCGGGACAACUACUGGAGACGGUGGCUAAUACCGGAUGUGCCGAGAGGUAAAAGAAAAAUUGCCUGAAGAUGAGCUCGCGUCUGAUUAGCUAGUUGGUGAGGUAAAGGCUCACCAAGGUAGCGAUGAGUAGGUGGUCAGAGGGGACGACGAGCCACACUGGGACUGAGACACCGCCCAGACGCUGAAGUGAAGCAGGAGGGGGAAAUUUACCGAAAUGGGCGAUAGCCAGCCGGAGCAAUACCGCGAGUGAGAAGAGGCUUCGUGGGUUAUAAACCUGUUUGCUGAGAGAAGGACGAAGUGACGGUAACUGUGAAAUCAGCAGCGGCUAGCUCCGUG